rnacentral:tRNA from 1 species
CGAAUAGAAGCCCGCUGGUUUGGGUGAUUAGCUGUUAAUUAAUUUGUUGUGAGAUCAAGGCUCGCCUAUUCAG